rnacentral:sRNA from 1 species
AUUGCAGAACACAGAAGGCAAAGUCAUAUGGAUGACUGAAAUCCUACAUAGAAGCGGCAGUCGAUGGCAUGCAUCAUCUAGUGGUGCAUAUCCUAGAGAAGUUCCGAGAGAAGUAUAGAGAGACUAUUUGGUGCUUGUUAUCACCCAAUGCUAGGUAUGAGUUAUGGCUAUCAGUGGCCACUCGUGAAAUGAGAUAGAGAACGGAAUGCAGCCAAGGAUGACUUGCCGGUACGUGUAUGCAUGUUUCAAGGUACUAUAUGUGCCCCCAACUGUUUUAGAUCCAUGCUGACAUUUUCCGGCAAGUUGUCCUUGGCUACGUCUUGUUCUUUUUCUCUCACGUGAGGCCAUUGCAUGGUUUGCAUUUAGCUUCCAGGUCAUGCAUGUACAGUGAUGUAUAUCAAUGUAAACCAGAAAUAUAUUGAUGGGAUUAAGGAUUAGUUUAGUUGUG